UGGCUACAGAUAACCCACCACUCCUUUUAUCUUCCACCACAGAAUUCUUCACUACAAAUCAAUGGCUUGGCUGUUUGGUGGGAAUGUACUCAAGAACAAAAUGGAAUAAUUUUUGUGCCAACAGCCAAGUGGAUGGCAUCAUCAAGUCCAUAACUUGGACGAUACAAUUUCCAUAAAUCUCAAUAUUUACAUAAAUCAAGAUGCAAGAUGGCCAUCUUGAGCUAAGAAUUAGUCUAAUGAUCGCAAAAUUUUGCCAUCUUCAGCGGAAUUUACUAUCGGAGGACUACAAAGAGGCCAAGGAGUAUAUAGAAGAUAUUAGAGAGAUUCGUGAUGACUUUAAGGGUCUUGCCAGAGGAAUCUUGCAGCCAGCAGAGAUUGUAUCAGCAAGGAGAGUUGCCCUUGGAUUCAACAUCAUCACCAUUUCAUCAUCAACCUUCGCUUUAAUCUUUUGAAGAACGGUUUGCUUAGAAAAAGGGUUGUCAGAUUUUUUUUCAACUUGUGCUUAAACUAUUUUGGUAGCUUGUGUUUUAUCUUAUUUUUACGGUGUAUUCAAGCCGGUGAUUAUUGAGGAUUUAAAUUAGCUAGGGCUAGGUGUUACUCAUCUGUGAGAAGUUAUGUUAGACGACUGGUUUCGGUAGAUAUCAAGGUGUGGUCUUUGUAAGCCUACCGAAUUAGGUUGUGAUUUAUCUGGUCAUAGUGAGGAAUUAAGCUCCUUCAUGAGAAGGAAUAGUGGAUGUAGAAUUGUUAUCCAAAAAAAUCUCGUGUGUUCUUUGGUUGGUUUUUGGUUUAGUCGUUCACUUUUA